rnacentral:rRNA from 1 species
CCUACGGGAGGCUGCAGUGGGGAAUAUUGCGCAAUGGGCGAAAGCCUGACGCAGCGACGCCGCGUGAGGGAUGAAGGUCUUCGGAUCGUAAACCUCUGUCAGCAGGGAAGAACGGUCACUGUGCUAAUCAGCAGUGAAUUGACGGUACCUGCAAAGGAAGCACCGGCUAACUCCGUGCCAGCAGCCGCGGUAAUACGGAGGGUGUGAGCGUUAAUCGGAAUUACUGGGCGUAAAGCGCUCGUAGGCGGUCUGUCAAGUCAAGGGUGAAAUCCCCGGGCUCAACGUGGGAACCGCAUUUGAAACUGGCAGACUGGAGUGUGUGAGAGGAUAGUGGAAUUCCAGGUGUAGGAGUGAAAUCCGUAGAUAUCUGGAGGAACAUCAGUGGCGAAGGCGACUAUCUGGCACAUAACUGACGCUGAGGAGCGAAAGCGUGGGUAGCAAACAGGAUUAGAUACCCGGGUAGUC